GAUGGUCAUAUCAUGUUGAAACACCAGUUUUUGUAUGAUCACCAAAGUUAAGCAAUGUCAAGCCUGGCCAGUACUUUGAUGGGUGACCACUUGGGAAUACUAGGUACUGUAG